GUGACGUCAGGGCGGAAGCGCACGCUGCGUGAAGCGGCCCAGAAUCAGGCGGUCACGGGAAUAUCCGUCGCGCCGAGGACGCUGGUUAGUCUCGCUCCGGGUUCCGGCUGCGUUGGGCGUGCGUGCAGCUCGCUGAGACUAUGGCGUCCGGGCCUCACCCGACCGCGACCGCUGCCGCCGCCGCCUCGUCGGCCGCCCCGAGUGCGGGCGGCUCUAGCUCCGGGACGACGACCACGACGACGACUACGACGGGAGGGAUCCUGAUCGGCGACCGCCUGUACUCGGAAGUUUCGCUCACCAUCGACCACUCGCUGAUUCCGGAGGAGCGGCUCUCCCCUACCCCGUCUAUGCAGGACGGGCUCGACCUGCCCAGCGAGACCGACUUGCGCAUCCUGGGCUGCGAGCUCAUCCAAGCCGCCGGCAUUCUCCUCCGGUUGCCGCAGGUGGCGAUGGCAACGGGGCAGGUGUUGUUUCAUCGUUUUUUCUACUCCAAGUCUUUCGUCAAACACAGUUUCGAGAUUGUUGCCAUGGCUUGUAUUAAUCUUGCAUCAAAAAUUGAAGAAGCACCUAGAAGAAUAAGAGAUGUGAUUAAUGUAUUUCACCACCUACGCCAGUUAAGAGGAAAAAGGACUCCAAGCCCCCUGAUCCUUGAUCAGAACUACAUUAACACCAAAAAUCAAGUUAUCAAGGCAGAGAGAAGGGUGCUAAAGGAGUUGGGAUUUUGUGUUCAUGUCAAGCAUCCCCAUAAGAUCAUUGUUAUGUAUUUACAAGUCUUAGAAUGUGAACGUAAUCAAACCCUGGUUCAAACUGCCUGGGUAGUCCAUGAUGGUAAGUCAUAGAACUCUGCCCUCUGCACUUCAGCCCAUGACCUCAGGAUGGCCUGAUUGGCUGCCCUGCUCUCCAGCCAAUCCAGUGCAAGCUCUCAUCCGAGAUUCACUGAAGUGGUCCAUAUCCAUCUGGCAGCAUCUUCUAGUUCUGUCGGGGUGUCAAAAGGAUUUGUAUAUUUGCUUCUAGAAGUAACUAUUCAACAUGCCUGUGUAUAUAAUGUAUACCUGUAACUAUCAAAAUGAAUAGUUCAUUUUUGAUAGAUUUGUUGUCCAGCCAUUAUGAAUUAAAUGAUUUUUUUUUGUUAGGAGUUUGACUUAGAUUUCUAUUUUUAGUAUGUAUAGCAUGGUGUCUACCGAAGGGGAAAGUACAACUUGCAGCUUAAAAUGGGCACCAUUCCCAUUCUGGAUGAAUUAUAGUUGCUGGACUGUUGAGGCAAUACUAAAAGAAUUAAAUUUUUAAAAGAGAUGUUAAUAUUGCCAUAAGUACUGUAGAACUUGGACUUUUGACAUGAAGAUGUUUGACUUGGAGGGCUAGUUUAUUUUAAGGUGAAACAAGGAAUUUGGUCCAGCUACAACUACUUUCUCAAGACUGUUGAUGAUGUGCAGGACUUAAGUAAUUUUCAUGUUCUGGACUUAAUGACUGCCAUGCUUCUUUAGGACUCAGUAAAUAUCAGUAAUAUUAGAUAAGUCUAAUUGCUUUUAUAAAAUGCAUGACAUUUUUAAUAUGCUCUAUAGAACAUUUAAGCAGUUUUCAUGGAUAAGGAUUUUUAAGAAAUAGUCUAACCUUUUAAAAUAGUUUAACCUUUUAAACAAUUUGUGAAAUUUCUUUAAUACUUUAGGGAUAUUGUGGGGAGGGUUCACUAAUAAAAAAGUCCAGCACUUUAUUAACUGAAGUAGUUUAUUGCUUUUGUUUGUACUUAGUCACAAAAAAGGUAUGUAAACAAGGCUAUUCUGUAUAUUUACUGCUCUUCACUUCCCUACCUAGAUUUUCUGAAGUAGCUUAGUUUUCUUAAUACAAUUUGGUGAGUGCUUACUGAAAAUGCCUUUUUACCCCUGUUACAGUAUUUUGAGUUUUUGAAAGAACUUGGUUGACACUGCUUUUCAUUGUGGAUAAAGGAGAGAUGGUCAAUAAUUAAUGGCUUGAAGUACUGUUGGAGUGGUUUAUCAUUUCUGAAAUUAGAUAUGUGAAAAUUGACUUUCAAAGCAUUGCUUUUCAUAGAAAUAAAAACUACAGAAGUACUAUUUGGGAUGAUAUGGAAUUAUUUUAAAGGACUUUAGUCACAUCUAGGAAAGCUGAAGAAUGGUUCCAGUGUUAAAUUCUUAUCUCUUACUGAUUUUUGAGUUAAGAGUUGUUGUAUGCUAGAAUAUGAGGAUAUGAAUAUAAGUAAGAGAAGAAAAAAGAAUAAAGUAGAUUGAGUCUCCAAUUUUAUGUAAGCCUCGGAAGGACUGGUUUGUUUAUGUACAAAGCUUAUGGUUGAAAUAUUUUUCAGGAAUUAUAUGAAUGACAGUCUUCGAACCAAUGUAUUUGUUCGGUUCCAACCAGAGACUAUAGCAUGUGCUUGCAUCUACCUUGCAGCUAGAGCUCUUCAGAUUCCAUUACCAACUCGUCCCCAUUGGUUUCUUCUUUUUGGUACUACAG